AUGACCUUGUCCCUCUUGGCAUAUUACAGAAUUACUAAUGUUGAUAGGGGAUGGGGAAAGAACCCAUUCUUAAACUCCAGUGCUGUAUUCUCCAAUUUUGAAAAUUUAGACAUGAAGGUAGUAAAAGCUACUUUAAGAGGUUUAGUAACACAUCUGGGACAGCACUUCCUGUCCUUGAACAAUGUAGAUAGGAAGAACGGAUCUGGACGAAUAAAUCUGAAAACACAAACUGGAUCAGAACACUGUGGUCCCAGUCCCUCCACCAGCACAACAAAGACUUCUGUCCCAGAGUUACAGAGUUCCUCUGAUGUGCUCUCAAAUAACUUGCUAAACAGACCCAAAACCAAGUACAAUUUCAGUUCAAACAAGAAGAAGUUUUCAUUGUUGCCAACAAUAUUAAGGCCGUCAAAGGCCAAAAACAUCUGUUAUUCAGCAGCUGCAGAAACAGGUGCAAGUAUGUAUAUUCAGAAAAUCCCUCAGAUGUCCCAAGCAGGCACUCACAUUAUCAUCACCAGAGCCGAAUUUAUAAAGUGCCAUACAAUACCCAGCCCCUUUUGUUAGAGCAAGAGAGCAAUCAAAACAAAAAUUUAUCUUCUGCAUUUUGAAAGGAACUAAGCCUAGCCCCCAUUCCCAAAGGUGUUUUUUUGGUAGGAGUUGGGAACAUAAGCACUUUGCUGACCAUGAUGUCCUUAAGUUACAGCAGUUCGUGUAAGAGUUUAUCUUUUUUAUUUCAACACAGUUAGAAAGAAGUAUUUGUCUCCUCUCCUUCCCCCCUGUGCUUUUUCUGUUUAUUUCUAAACCUGAACUAAUAUUGUGGCAAAUUCUUAUGAGAUAUGACUAAACUGUGAAUGGCAGAAGUUUUUGUUUAGAGCUAUGCAGAUACCAUUUUCUACAAACAUCGCUUAAAAAACAAACAACUUCCCUCAUUUAAAUGAACAGAAGGGACCAUGAAAUGACUAUCAUUCCACUUUGGAAAAUGAACAUUAUUAUAGAUGAAGCAAUUCUCUGAUCAAGUCAACACAGGUAAACACCUCACAGACCUGGCACAGUGAAUUACGGGACUUCAUGAAAAAGAGAAUUAGCACUGUAUUUUGAGAAGCAGCCGACUAUUACAGGCUCUUCCCAGUCAACAAAGCCUCACAAGGAAGGAUGAAGUAGCUUGGUUUCAUCACAAUUAAAAUGGUAAGUCUGACCAAACCUGCAGUUUGUCAAGCAUUUCUCUUAGCUUAAAUACCAUUUAAAACUUGCCCCUUGCUCCCACCCACAGGUCAAUACCACGGCUCCUGCUUCCAGUCACCCAGUCAAGUGUGGAACUGACUGGAGCUACACCACGUUUUUUAGAGCUGGGUAUCUUUUUUUAGCUUGAAUCAGUUCCAGAAUUGGCCGUGUGCAGAGUGGCACUAACAUGAGGUAGGGCAUGAUGCCUGUGGGCCUAGUUAAGCUGGAAGGUUUGGCCAAAAGAAGUGUUCUUCCAGUUCAAUGCUGAGGUUUGAAAUCCAGGUCUCAGCAUACGAGUUCUGCUGGGAAGCAUUCAGCUCAUUUGCAAAAAGGAGCAUCUGAGGGUUGUGAUCUUUGCAUGUUUUCUCCCAAUGGUGGUAAAGGGAUGAGAUACUGAUUAUUAAAAGUGUUUUUCUUCUCUGUGAAUAAACUUACGUCUUUCUUUAGACUCCUCCUCCCA
rnacentral:lncRNA from 1 species